GCAAAAUGAUGAUUUUGGCCCUCACGUGAGUUAUCUCCGGUUCUGUGCAGAUGUCGUAGUCGUUGCUCAAGGUUAUCUCUAAGAUUGAGCUGUUGUGAGUACUGAAUGCCCUCAAGGUUAUCUCUAAGGUGCCUUGACCUCCCGGGGUUAUCUCCGGGGUUGGAAUUGAGUGUCCCGGGGUCGUCUCCGGGUUUUGAACUGACUAUUCUGGGGUUAUCUCCGGAACUGCUUCUCUCGAGGUUAUCUUUGAGGUUUGUAACUAUGCAUCCUGGGGUUAUCUCCAGGAUUAAAACUGAGUAUCUCGGGGUUGUCUCUGAGAUUAAAAACUGAGUAUCCCGAG
rnacentral:lncRNA from 1 species